rnacentral:lncRNA from 1 species
CGUGUCUGCCGUUCUGCCCCGUGCUUCUUUGCUUUGUGCUGGGUUGGAGAGGCAGUCUUCUCCAAGUCCGCAUCCUCCGUGGCCCAAGCUCAUUUGAAGGGGCAGAUGAUGUUGUUACCUGGUAGCCCCUGCAGCUGUCACCCCUGCAGCUCCCCCAAUGCACCAUCUGCUCCAGCUAUGGCUCGUUUUCAGGUCGGUGAUAAUCAGGCUCAUGGUUGAGCACUGGAGCUCAGUUAAGAGCCCCAUCAGCAAAUAAAAGUCACAGCGCCUCAUGGGAGCCAUGCAGACAGACAAACCUUCCAGUAUCCGAGAAGCGCCUUUGAAGACAGAUGCAGAGAGAUGUCUUUUUUUUUUUUCAUUUUCUUGUGUUAUUUUUUUUUGCAUUUGAUGUAAAAUUUGGCAAAGUGUUCAAGACACAAAUCUUAAAUGUUCCAUUAACCAAACGAAACCUCUCGUGACUGGCUGUACUAUGUAUUAGAUGUUAUAUACAGUAGACCACUACAUCAGUAGUUUAUGCACUUGAGCUAUUUCAGGGUCGUUACAUCAUGAAAUGAAACCUCAAGAAGUUCAAUAAAAUGUAGAACAAUACAAUUACAGAUGUGUAUCAUUAAGUUUUCACAAAUAUUUUAGGAAAUACUAUCAUAGUUUAUAUAGAUAUAUAUAAAACUUGGGAAAAAAUCUUAAGUCCUUUUGGUGAUAUAGCAAGGCAGUAUGUUCAUUUGUAAAGUGGAAGUCCUGUUAACACGUCUGCAUCGUUGACCUUCCAAAGGCUACAAACUGGCUGUUCAGUGCUGAGGCUCUCAUCCCAGCUAUUUCCUCUUCACAUGCAGAAGAUUAUCUUUGUCAUCCUUG